UUUUACGGAGAGUUUGAUCCUGGCUCAGGAUGAACGCUGGCGGCGUGCUUAACACAUGCAAGUCGAACGAUGAAGCCCAGCUUGCUGG
rnacentral:rRNA from 1 species